GGCCCAUAGCUCAGUGACAGAGCAUGUGCUUUGUAAGCACAAGGUCUUGGGUUCCAUCAGGGACAUCUCCAGGUGGGAACA